GGGAUCAUUGCUGGAACGCGCUUCGGCGCACCCAGAAACCCUUUGUGAACUUAUACCUUAUUGUUGCCUCGGCGAAGGCCGGCCUCUCUUCUGAGGCCCCCCGGAGACGGGGAGCAGCCCGCCGGCGGCCAACCAAACUCUUGUUUCUUAGUGAAUCUCUGAGUAAAAAACAUAAAUGAAUCAAAACUUUCAACAACGGAUCUCUUGGUUCUGGCAUCGAUGAAGAACGCAGCGAAAUGCGAUAAGUAAUGUGAAUUGCAGAAUUCAGUGAAUCAUCGAAUCUUUGAACGCACAUUGCGCCCUCUGGUAUUCCGGAGGGCAUGCCUGUUCGAGCGUCAUUUCAACCCUCAAGCCUGGCUUGGUGUUGGGGCACUGCCUGUAAAAGGGCAGGCCCUGAAAUCUAGUGGCGAGCUCGCUAGGACCCCGAGCGUAGUAGUUAUAUCUCGUUCUGGAAGGCCCUGGCGGUGCCCUGCCGUUAAACCCCCAACUUCUGAAAUUUUGACCUCGGAUCAGGUAGGAAUACCCGC
rnacentral:rRNA from 1 species